GAUGAACGCUGGCGGCGUGCCUAAUACAUGCAAGUCGAGCGAAUGGAUUAAGAGCUUGCUCUUAUGAAGUUAGCGGCGGACGGGUGAGUAACACGUGGGUAACCUGCCCAUAAGACUGGGAUAACUCCGGGAAACCGGGGCUAAUACCGGAUAACAUUUUGAACCGCAUGGUUCGAAAUUGAAAGGCGGCUUCGGCUGUCACUUAUGGAUGGACCCGCGUCGCAUUAGCUAGUUGGUGAGGUAACGGCCCACCAAGGCAACGAUGCGUAGCCGACAUGAGAGGGUGAUCGGCCACACUGGGGCUGAGACACGGCCCAGACUCCUACGGGAGGCAGCAGUAGGGAAUCUUCCGCAAUGGACGAAAGUCUGACGGAGCAACGCCGCGUGAGUGAUGAAGGCUUUCGGGUCGUAAAACUCUGUUGUUAGGGAAGAACAAGUGCUAGUUGAAUAAGCUGGCACCUUGACGGUACCUAACCAGAAAGCCACGGCUAACUACGUGCCAGCAGCCGCGGUAA
rnacentral:rRNA from 1 species